AAAGCCCGCCCUCAGGCCUUCUCUUCCUUUUGCACCCUGACCAAAGAUCAGCAGAGAACAAAGGGAGUCUGAAUGUGAGUUGAAAAUGGACAAAGCUUUACUAAAUUUUGUUGGAUUCUCCUGAUUGUAUUAUUUCUAAUAUGGUUUAUUGUCAAAUAUUGUAUCAUUAGGUUACUGUCAAACUACACCCAGAUUUAGUGAUGAUUUAAAGCCCUGAAGUGGAUGCAUAUGUGAUGUAAGCUAAGUUAACAAAUUUACAAAUUCAUUUGACUCUAUAAGUCCCCCUUUAUUGAAAUAUUUUAUGUUGAUGUUUCUAUUUCUUUGAUUGUCUGGACAGAAAAAAUCAUCCACUGAAGACAAAAGAAAAUAAACCUUCUAAACUGAAUCCUGGAUCCUGUGUUUAAAUGUUCACUCAAUACAAGAUGUUCAAUGAGCCAGCAUCAGCUUCAACAUAAUCUUUUACAGACAUGGUUCAUCACAGUUGUUGUUAGAUAGCCUUGACUGUACUAAUGGGACAUAAAUUAUGAGAUGAAUAAAAGCAGAAAAAAUGUCAAAUUUAGCUUUUAUGAUUAUGUAAAAGAUUUGAAUCAGG